GUCCACGCCGUAAACGUUGGGAACUAGAUGUGGGGUCCAUUCCACGGAUUCCGUGUCGCAGCUAACGCAUUAAGUUCCCCGCCUGGGGAGUACGGCCGCAAGGCUAAAACUCAAAGGAAUUGACGGGGGCCCGCACAAGCGGCGGAGCAUGCGGAUUAAUUCGAUGCAACGCGAAGAACCUUACCAAGGCUUGACAUAUACCUGCAAAGGCUGGAAACAGUCUCCUCGCAAGACAGGUAUACAGGUGGUGCAUGGUUGUCGU
rnacentral:rRNA from 1 species